rnacentral:tRNA from 4 species
GCCGGUGAUUUAAUUCGCUCGCCCGAGCGACGGCCGCCCUUUUAGAGUGAUGAACGUCCAGGUGCGAAGGCAGGACCUACUUCCACUCAUAAUGGGGCGGCCACGGGUUCGAGUCCCGUCACCGGCA